rnacentral:lncRNA from 1 species
GGGAUGUCAAAUACGUCCUAAGGAACCAUAUUCACCACCCGCCAUGACCAAAUUAUGUUUUUUGGCAUUUUACGGCCAUAUAACUGGAAUUCCACGCGAGUCCCAAAUUUUCGUGUGCUAUAUAGCCCACGCUUUCCGCCGUGGGCCCGGGACCCCGGAUCUGGAUCGCCUAAAAAUUUUCCGGGAUAUCAAAUACUGCCUAAGGAAACAUAUUCACCGCCUCUCCAUGACCAAAUUAUGUUUAUUGGCAUUUUACGGCCAUAAAACUGGAAUUCCGCGCGAGCCCCAAAUUUUUGUGUGCUAUAGCCCACACCUUCCGCCGUGGGCCCGGGACCCCGGACCCGAAUCGCCUAAAAUUUUUCUGGGACAUCAAAUAAGGCCUAAGGAACUAUAUUCACUGCCCCGCCAUGACCAAAUUAUGUUUUUAGCAUUUUAUGGCCAUAAAACUGGAAUUCCGCGCGAGUCCCAAAUUUUUGUGUCCUAUAGCCCACGCCUUCCGUCAUGGCCCCGAGAACCCGGACCCGGAUCACCUAAAAAUUUCGGGACAUAGAAUACGGCCUAAGGAAUAAUAGUCACUACCUCGCCAUGACCAAAUUACGUUUUAUGGCAUUUUACGGCCAUAAAAUUGGAAUUCUGCACGAUUCUCAUAUUUUCGUGUUCUAUAUCCCAUGCCUUCCGCCGUGGGCCCGGGACCCCGGACCCGGAUUGCCUAAAAUUUUUCCGGUUUUCGAAUACGGAUUAAGCAACCAUAGUCACCGCCCUGCCAUGACCAAAUUACGUUUUUUGGCAUUUUACAACCAUUAAAUUGGAAAUUCACGGGAGUACCAAAUUUUCAUGUGCUAUAGCCCACGCCUUCCGCCGUCGGCCCGGAACCCUGGACCCGGAUUACCUAAAAAAUUUUCGGGACGUCGAAUACGGUCUAAGGAACCAUAGUAACUGCCCCUCCUUGACUAGAUUACGUUAUAUGGCAUUUUACGGCCAUAAAACUAGAAUUCCGCACGAUUCUCAUAUUUUUGUGUUCUAUAUCGCACG